rnacentral:rRNA from 1 species
UACAGAGGUCUCAAGCGUUGUUCGGAUUCAUUGGGCGUAAAGGGUGCGUAGGCGGCGAGGUAAGUCGGAUGUGAAAUCUCAGGGCUCAACCCUGAAACUGCAUUCGAUACUGCCUUGCUUGAGGACUCGAGAGGAGAUUGGAAUUCACGGUGUAGCAGUGAAAUGCGUAGAUAUCGUGAGGAAGACCAGUGGCGAAGGCGGAUCUCUGGAGAGUUCCUGACGCUGAGGCACGAAGGCCAGGGGAGCAAACGGG